CUUCAUGUUACCAGGUCUGUAGCGCUUGUUUCCAUAGAAACUGUGUAUCAUCUUCAAAGGCAGAACAAAGCUGUUAUGUUGCUGAAGGAAAAAGAGAUAAGUCAAAUGAUAGUUGUCAGAACAAUUGCAUAUGUAUUAAAGCUGUUAGAGGUGAAACCCACGCAGAGCCAUGAGAAUGACAGACAAAUGAUUUGCUGUUGCAUUGCACAGCCAUCUUAAACCCUGAUGUCAUAAAACUCAGUCUCCUGAAGAGAAAACCUGCGGGAUUCUUAGACAUAGGAAGGUCCACACAGGCUUCAACAGAGGAGUGUGGACACGAUGAAUGAUUCCUAGAGUGGUACAUUGUGGGUGAGUGACACUUCCCUACAAGGUAUGUGGACUUCCUAUUCCCUGCUUUGAGUGUGGUUUCAUCUAAUAAAAGGGUCUGCUGAGCUGAGACUUUUGAAGACCUUUCAAGGCAUUAUCCCUUCCAGGAUAUCUACAGGGAAACAUUACUGAGAACUGACGUCAAAUACAUCAAUCCAUUUGAUGCUCAAUUGCAAGCAUGGUGCAAGUACUACUCUAAAUAAUACAAGCAGAACUCCACUAAUACAUAGUCUAGCUGCCUCUACUUUAAAAAAAAAAAAGGGAUGUAGUAUAGUUUCUCAGUGAUGCCUUAUGGAGCCCUAGUUUUAAAACCCUUCAAAGCAAUAGCUGUAUGAAAAGUACUAGAUGUGGCGGUAGCACUUGAGACAGAGAACAGCCAUCAGGAAAGACAUAGACCCACCUCUGACCAUGGCUGAUGGGUGAAUUCCUUGACUAUACAACAGAGCCAUGGUGAGGAAAACAGCAUGGUACUGACACAAGGCAGACAUGUAAACCCACGGAAGAGAACAGGAGACCCAGACACAAAACAAUGAAGCCACAUCACUUCAUUUCGACGACGGUGUAAAAUACUCACGGUGGUGGGGCAGUCUUUUUGAACAAAAAAAAAAUACUGGGGAAAGUCACAUGCAGGAGAAUCAAAUUAUUGUCAAAAAAUUCUCACUCACCUCACUCAAAACCCAGUGCCAAGUGGUUCAAAGUCAUUAACGUAAGACUCAAAAACUCUGAAACCAGUGGAAGGAAAGUAGAGAAGACACUGAAAAACACAGGUGUAGGUGAGCGCCUUCUGCAUAGGACUCAAAUGCUCAGGAACUAAGAUCAGUCAUGAAGAACAAGGCCUCAAAAAAUGUUCCUGAGGUGUAGAAUGUGGCUAUGCUGUAGAGCCAAGGUCUUCAGUUCAACACCCACCCCACCCCACCCCACACACACACCACACCCUUACAGCAAAUGAGACAGUUAAGUAAGUAAAGCGCCAAAGAGAUAGCCUGCGGAGUAGAACAUCUUUGCCUGCUUU
rnacentral:lncRNA from 1 species